CAAGACCCGUCCGUCCCUAAUUCUCACAACUUUGCAUUUAUCUCACCUCGUUUCUCCUGGAUUUCCGCGUCAUCCCUCCCAGCCGAUAAUUGAACUUGCGUCUAUCAUCCGUAGUACUAGUACAUCUCGAGACCAUACCAUCCGGAGUUCCAAUUCUUCUCUUAUCCGCAGUCAUCUACAUCAUCAACAACGAGCUACAGGAGCAGUUACAAUCAUUAGCGCUUUGAAUCCGGAGAAUCUACACCAAGAUCAACCCGGGUGAUCUUCUAAUCUUCCGAGCAGCUUCGUUCUUUCCGCUUACUUACGCCGCGUCACACUACAACCGCUUCAUCCCCCCAUUGCAUCUAACUACAUCAACAUCGCCUCCCUCUUCUUUGCUUGUACAUGACGGGAUAACCAAAUCGAGCACCAACCAAAUCCAGAUAGGAAAUCGACUACCAUCAACUCCGAGGAACAACAUCCGGUCGGUUAACUUGAUAUGGGAAAGCUCCGCACCAAGCACCGCCGCUUCACCACAUCAGCACUGCUGAACUACAUCAGCGUCGUCCGCUAGAACAAGGGCGACUUCUUCUCAUAUCAACCAUCAUUCUUUUGUCCUUUCUGAGGAACAAUAACAACAACCAAAUCGGAGAUUCAUCAACAAAAAAUCAAUCGAACAGAUAAAGUUCAAUUUACUUGUUGUCAUUCACCGUAAUAAUUGAUUAAUUUCUGGUUUUUUGGAAAAAAUAUUUUAGGGUUUUCAUAGAUUCAAAUUCGAGAUUUCUUUCAGUCUACGAUCUGAUUUAAAACCUAAGACCCAAUUUGCGAUCAUCAUCUUGGGAAAAAAUCUUUGGAAUACGACAAAAUUAUUGGAACUGCUCGUCGUUGAGAAAUCAUUAUAAAGGCCUCUUGAAUCGGAUUUUGAUUGAUGAAGAAGGAACUUGUGAGAUCAAGGAAGAGCAAUAGAUGGAAAUUUAUGAAUGCAUGAUCACUUGAAGCUGCAGCUGCUUUGAUUUUCCAUAUAUGGUUUGGUUGAUAUUGUUAUUGCAGUGCUGAAGAACACUGAACUGAAGCACAGCGAGAAUGGAGACAAGAGAGGUGAUUAGAGCUGGUAGUUGUGUUGACUGAUACCAAUUGCAGUUGAAGGCACUGGUGGUGUAUGCAGUGGGUUGAGGGAAUAAAGAAAGGGAAAGGAGUUGAAGUUGUUGUUGUUGCCAAGGAAUGUUGUGUGCAGAAGGUUAGAAGUGGCAUUAUUGCCUUCAGUUGGGAUGAGAAGAACAUGGUGAAACUGGAGUUGCAGCUCAAAUGGAGUAUGGUUGUGUGCAGACUAAGUUGGUGCUGUGAUGGCAGUGAUGAGCAUAUGGAUCUGAACUGAUUGGAGUGGUAAUGAUUCAGAGGGAGCUGAAUGCUGGUGCAUAGAAGACUCGGAAAUUGGGGUUAGGGAUUAAUGAUUGAGCCGCAAGAUUGAACUACAAUGGAUUAUUGUCAUCCGUUGAAUCUCUGGAGUUCAAUCUGUUUAUCUUUGAAUACAACUUAACAAUGAUGUGGUACUUACAAUUUUUAAUUGCUGGAAUCAGUCUCGGCUGCAUGAUAUUAUGAUUACUGAUCUAAGAGCAGCACAGCAAAGACAAGAACUCAAGCUUUGGCUAGAUGAAGUCAUUCAUACAAGUCCAAACUAGGACCCGAGAUUAUAACCAGCAAUAUCACAAUCUACCUGACCUCGACAAAAGCUAAGUAUUACUUUCUUAAGCCAAAUUUUUGAAAGAAUAUCGGAGUUACAUAACUAUUGGAAGUUAUAGAAUUUCAGUCAGUACACACUUCUCCUUAACCCCUUUUAUCUUACAAUGCAUGCAAACUUUUGAGUUUCAAUGAAAACAACAUGAUAUAAGUUAUCUAGGCAAGCACUAAGCUGCCUUUUAUUACCAUAUAAGUGUCUCACCAUAUCUAAACGUAUAAUUGAAUUGCCUUAUAAUUAGAAUUAAUGCUUGAAUGCUAGAGAAAAGUUGAACAUCCUUAUAAUGAAAAAACAUGUUUAAAUCAUAAAGCAUGAGCUCGCUUGGUUAGGUACAACUGUUGCAUGCGGAUAAAACAUCUAUAUAAUGAACUAGAUGAUUAAAUUUGCUCAACUAGUAUCUGCCAUGUAUAUCUUGCUUGAAUAACACAAAUAUGCUUUUAUAUAUCUCAUACAUUAUGAGUUGGUCUAUUGCUUCUAAUUGCAUCUGAGUAAUGUUUAAUGUUAUACCUCAUGAACUUGAUAUGAAAUCUUAAGUCUGAAGGGACUCACAUAACUAUCUAUGCUAGCAAUGUAAAAUCUAGUGAGCUGUGUACUUAGAUGAAAUAAAUCGAGCUGAAUAAGCAUUUAAAUAUCUCUUCUAAAAGCAUGAUAAUCUGUUUACAUUAUUAUACAUGAUUCCUGUGACACCUAUCUGAGCUGAACUGCUCAAACAUAAUUUUAUGAACUUACAAUUUUAAACUUUAAUUUGUCACCUAUGAGCUGAUUUGCUAUAUGAAUCUGUCACUUAAACUAGCUGACAUAUUUUAACUAAGCGACCUGAAAUUCUGUGUCACCUAUGAGCUGACUAUUUCCAGAAUUGUUAAUCUAUGGCUUUAAAGCCUAACUCUACAGCUAAGAAUCUGUAGCUAUGAAUAUCCUCAAGACCACCACCUAAGCUAAGUGUGUUGUAUAGAGCUUGGAACAACUGCGCACCGCUUAACGCCACAACAACGCCCUUCAUCCAUAACUGACUGCCU